rnacentral:rRNA from 1 species
CAGCUCGUGUCGUGAGAUGUUGGGUUAAGUCCGCAACGAGCGCAACCCUCGACCUUAGUUGCCAGCAUUCAGUUGGGCACUCUAAGGUGACUGCCGGCUAAAAGUCGGAGGAAGUGGGAUGACGUCAAAUCAUCAUGCCCUUAUGACCUGGGCUACACACGUGCUACAAUGGGCGGUACAAAGGGUCGCGAACCCGCGAGGGGGAGCCAAUCCCAAAAAGCCGACUCUCAGUUCGGAUUGCAGGCUGCAACUCGCCUGCAUGAAGCCGGAAUCGCUAGUAAUCGCGGAUCAGCAUGCCGCGGUGAAUACGUUCCCGGGCCUU